rnacentral:rRNA from 1 species
UGCCAGCAGCCGCGGUAAUACAGAGGGUGCAAGCGUUAAUCGGAAUUACUGGGCGUAAAGGGUACGUAGGCGGUUAUUUAAGUCGGAUGUGAAAGCCCUGGGCUUAACCUGGGAAUGUCGUUCGAUACUGGAUAACUAGAGUCUGGCAGAGGCUGGUGGAAUUCCCGGUGUAGCGGUGAAAUGCGUAGAUAUCGGGAGGAACAUUAGUGGCGAAGGCGACCGGCUGGGUCAAGACUGACGCUGAGGUACGAAAGCGUGGGGAGCAAACAGGAUUAGAUA